UGAUAUGGUCAGACCUGUCUGAGCAUUUAAGCAGCUGGGUGGAGGACUGCAGAAGGAAGGGACAGGAGGCAAGGAAGCUAAGACUACUGUCAUAGUGCUGGUGAGAGGUGAUAAGGCCACAGUGUGGUAGCUACAUUAGAAGGACACGGAUGAGAAAUAUGGAGACAGAAUCGACAAGAACUAGCAACUGAUCAGACAGAUAGGAGGGCUGAAGGAGAGAAGAGUUGAAGAUGAUUCCAAGUUUCAGAUGACUAUGGGACAUUCAGUAAGAAAUUUACAAAGGGCAUCUGGUGACACAGGAAUACCGCUCAAAAGUGAGAUGAGGUCUGGAUAUAUGGAUCUUGGAUUUUGCACAGAGAUGAUCAAUGAACCAAGAGCUGUUAAUGAGAUUACCAAGGAAAAAGAUGGUGGUAGAGAUACAAGAGAAGAGGAACCACCAAGGACAGAACCUGGGAUACAAUUACAGUUAAGGCUUAGGACAUGGGAUGAUGCUGAUCUAGCAAAGGCACAAAGAAGAAACAGUAAUACAGUUAGGAGAAGGACCAAGAAAGAGUAUUAUCAAAACCCAGAGAGAAGAGUGUAUACAGGAAGGGAAGGUGGGCAACAGUGUUACAUGUGUUAUAAGAUUGGGCCUGGUGGUCUUAAGAUCACUGUGAUAGUCUCUCCUUAAGGGAGGCUGUAAGCUUACAGAACAUACUCAGGGAAAAAUAUUUUUCAAAGGUUAGUACAGCUGUGUUUCUCAAAUAAUAUUUUGUCUACCAGCAGUUUUUCUUCUGUAUGUUAUCACAUCCUCAGCAGAUGUUUCGGGAGUGUCUCACGGGGAGGGCUCUUUGAAGUUAGGAUGGAUUUUCUCUAUAUAUCUUGUACCCUCAGAAAAAUAAACUGAGUCAGUUUUCUGCUCCGCCUGGUCCCACUUCAUGUCUUAUUUCACGCCUCCCUGUUCAGUGUACUAUCUGGUUGCGGGCAACAAAUGGCGCGUCGAACAGUGACGAAGAGUCAGAGAGAGGACGGUUCCCUUGAACGCUCUGGAGGAAAAGAAACCCUCGCUGGCUACUACGCCAGGAAACAACGUCCUUAAGGGGCUGGACGCUGCGGUGCUAAGGUAUUUCAAAAAGAUUGUUAGAUUUAACCCCAUUCCUUCAGCACCCAUGACAUUCAUCGAUGGGUUAAGUACAGGUAUAGCAAGAUAUUAUGAGCCUAUUAAUGUUGUUUCUGAUAACAAGUAAUCUGUUUAUG